rnacentral:snRNA from 1 species
GUGCUCACUUAGGCAGCACAUAUACUAAAAUUGGAACAACACAGAGAUUAGGAUGGCCUCUGUGCAAGGGUGACACACAAAUUCAAAAAGCGUUAUUUUUACUA